rnacentral:antisense_RNA from 1 species
CUCAAUGGUGGCCCUGGCGGGGAGCCGCAAGGCUCGCCGGUUCCGUCCGCGGGUGCCCGGUACGCCAACCCGUCAGGGCUGCCGCCCCU